CAGUCGCCGCGGGAAAACGAGGGGUGCAAGCGUUAUUCGGAUUGAUUGGGUGUAAAGGGUGUGCAGACGGCUUAUUAAGUCACUUGUUAAAUUCUUCGGCCUAACUGAAGGUCUGCAAGUGAUACUGAUGAGCUAGAGGGUGGAAGAGAGAAGUGGAAUUCUCGGAGUAGCGGUAAAAUGCGUAGAUCUCGAGAGGAACACCAAUGGCGAAGGCAGCUUCUUGGUCCAUUCCUGACGUUCAUACACGAAAGCGUGGGGAGCAAACAGGAUUAGAUACCCCCGUAGUCCCUGUCUCUUAUAC
rnacentral:rRNA from 1 species